GUGUAUUGCUGUUGGUGGGUGUCUAA
rnacentral:sRNA from 1 species